rnacentral:rRNA from 1 species
GAUGAACGCUGGCGGCGUGCCUAAUACAUGCGAGUCGAGCGAACAGACGGGGAGCUUGCUCCUCUGACGUUAGCGGCGGACGGGUGAGUAACACGUGGAUAACCUACCUAUAAGACUGGGAUAACUUCGGGAAACCGGAGCUAAUACCGGAUAAUAUAUUGAACCGCAUGGUUCAAUAGUGAAAGACGGUUUUGCUGUCACUUAUAGAUGGAUCCGCGCCGCAUUAGCUAGUUGGUAAGGUAACGGCUUACCAAGGCAACGAUGCGUAGCCGACCUGAGAGGGUGAUCGGCCACACUGGAACUGAGACACGGUCCAGACUCCUACGGGAGGCAGCAGUAGGGAAUCUUCCGCAAUGGGCGAAAGCCUGACGGAGCAACGCCGCGUGAGUGAUGAAGGUCUUCGGAUCGUAAAACUCUGUUAUUAGGGAAGAACAAAUGUGUAAGUAACUAUGCACGUCUUGACGGUACCUAAUCAGAAAGCCACGGCUAACUACGUG